rnacentral:rRNA from 1 species
GAUGAACGCUGGCGGCGUGCUUAACACAUGCAAGUCGAACGGGAAUUAUUUUAUUGAAACUUCGGUCGAUAUGAUUUAAUUCUAGUGGCGGACGGGUGAGUAACGCGUGGGUAACCUGCCUUGUACAGGGGGAUAACAGUCAGAAAUGGCUGCUAAUACCGCAUCAGCGCACAGAGCUGCAUGGCUCCGUGUGAAAAACUACGGUGGUAUAAGAUGGACCCGCGUUGGAUUAGCUUGUUGGCAGGGUAACGGCCUACCAAGGCGACGAUCCAUAGCCGGCCUGAGAGGGUGAACGCCCACAUUGGGACUGAGACACGGCCCAGACUCCUACGGGAGGCAGCAGUGGGGAAUAUUGCACAAUGGGGGAAACCCUGAUGCAGCGACGCCGCGUGAAGGAAGAAGUAUCUCGGUAUGUAAACUUCUAUCAGCAGGGAAGAGAUUGACGGUACCUGACUAAGAAGCCCCGGCUAACUACGUG